rnacentral:rRNA from 1 species
UGGGCGACCGGCGCACGGGUGAGUAACGCGUAUGCAACUUACCUAUCAGGAGGGGGAGGCCCGGCGAAAGUCGGAUUAAUACCCCAUGAAACAGGGGUCCCGCAUGGGAAUAUUUGUUAAAGAUUCAUCGCUGAUAGAUAGGCAUGCGUUCCAUUAGGCAGUUGGCGGGUAACGGCCCACCAAACCGACGAUGGAUAGGGGUUCUGAGAGGAAGGUCCCCCACAUUGGUACUGAGACACGGACCAA